UAGUUUUGGCAGAAAGAGAACCCACGACCCUGAGAUUAAGAGUCUCAUGCUCUACUGACUGAGCUAGC